UACGUAGGCAGCGAGCGUUGUUCGGAGUUACUGGGCGUAAAGCGUGCGUAGGCGGUGUCUUAAGUUUGUUGUGAAAUCUCCCGGCUUAACCGGGAGGGUGCGGCGAAUACUGAGAUGCUGGAGUGCCGGAGAGGUAAGCGGAAUUCCUGGUGUAGCGGUGAAAUGCGUAGAUAUCAGGAGGAACACCUGUGGCGAAAGCGGCGCACUGGACCACAACUGACGCUGAGGCGCGAAAGCUAGGGGAGCAAACAGG
rnacentral:rRNA from 1 species